UGGGGAAUUUUGGACAAUGGGGGCAACCCUGAUCCAGCAAUGCCGCGUGAGUGAAGAAGGCCUUCGGGUUGUAAAGCUCUUUUGUCAGGGAAGAAACGGUAGUAGCGAAUAACUAUUACUAAUGACGGUACCUGAAGAAUAAGCACCGGCUAACUACGUGCCAGCAGCCGCGGUAAUACGUAGGGUGCAAGCGUUAAUCGGAAUUACUGGGCGUAAAGCGUGCGCAGGCGGUUGUGUAAGUCAGAUGUGAAAUCCCCGGGCUCAACCUGGGAAUUGCAUUUGAGACUGCACGGCUAGAGUGUGUCAGAGGGGGGUAGAAUUCCACGUGUAGCAGUGAAAUGCGUAGAUAUGUGGAGGAAUACCGAUGGCGAAGGC
rnacentral:rRNA from 1 species